rnacentral:tRNA from 1 species
GGGCCUGUAGCCCAGCACGGAUUAAGGCAUCGGCCUCCGGAGCCGAAGAUCAGGGGUUCAAAUCCCCUCGGGCCCGCCA